rnacentral:rRNA from 1 species
GACGAACGCUGGCGGCGUGCUUAACACAUGCAAGUCGAACGUGAUUUUUGUGGAAAUUCUUUCGGGAAUGGAAAUGAAAUGAAAGUGGCGAACGGGUGAGUAACACGUGAGCAACCUACCUUACACAGGGGGAUAGCCGUUGGAAACGACGAUUAAUACCGCAUGAGACCACAGAAUCGCAUGAUAUAGGGGUCAAAGAUUUAUCGGUGUAAGAAGGGCUCGCGUCUGAUUAGCUAGUUGGUGAGAUAACUGCCCACCAAGGCGACGAUCAGUAGCCGACCUGAGAGGGUGAUCGGCCACAUUGGAACUGAGACACGGUCCAAACUCCUACGGGAGGCAGCAGUGGGGAAUAUUGCACAAUGGAGGGAACUCUGAUGCAGCGACGCCGCGUGAACGAAGAAGGCUUUCGAGUCGUAAAGUUCUUUUAUAUGGGAAGAUAAUGACGGUACCAUAAGAAAAAGCCCCGGCUAACUACGUGCCAGCAGCCGCGGUAAUACGUAGGGGGCUAGCGUUGUCCGGAAUCACUGGGCGUAAAGGGUUCGCAGGCGGAAAUGCAAGUCAGGUGUAAAAGGCAGUAGCUUAACUACUGUAAGCAUUUGAAACUGCAUAUCUUGAGAAGAGUAGAGGUAAGUGGAAUUUUUAGUGUAGCGGUGAAAUGCGUAGAUAUUAAAAAGAAUACCGGUGGCGAAGGCGACUUACUGGGCUCAUUCUGACGCUGAGGAACGAAAGCGUGGGUAGCAAACAGG